AAGAGAGGUCAUAAAAGGAGAAGGGAGAAAAGAAAAAAAAAACUAAAACGGGGAGAAAGAGAGAAGCAAAGAAAAGAAGAAACUAAAGACAAAGUGAAAAGGGCUGAGGGAGUUGUUGCUCGGCUGGGCAUCCAUCCAGCACACCGCAGAGACUUCAGCUUGUGGCCAAGUGAACGGACAAAACCAGUGUGACUGGGAGCCUACUGGGAGAGACUACUACUGAGCAGACUGCCGAGCACCAUGGCUGACAACGUGAACGAGGAGUCAGAUUAUAUCCCGGGGAAAGAUGAGCUGGACUGGGGCUAUGAGGAAGGUGUAGAAUGGGGACUCCAUUUUCCAGCAGCGAACGGCGAGUACCAGUCUCCCAUUAACUUGAACUCCAGGGAGGCUCAGUAUGACCCGUCCCUCCUGGAUGUCGGCUUAUCACCGAACUACGUGGUGUGUCGAGACUGUGAGGUCAUCAACGACGGACACACUGUCCGCAUCAUACUCAAGUCCAAGUCAGUUGUCACCGGUGGUCCUUUGCCUAGUGAUCAUGAGUAUGAGCUUCAUGAGGUUCGAUUCCACUGGGGCAAAGAGAACCAGAGAGGAUCAGAGCACACUGUCAACUUCAAGGCUUUCCCGAUGGAGCUCCAUCUAAUUCACUGGAACAGCACUCUGUUUAACACUUUGGAGGACGCUCUUGGGAAGAAGAACGGAAUCCUCAUCAUAGCUCUUUUUGUUCAGAUUGGUAAGGAGCAUCUGGGUCUGAAGGCCAUCACUGAAGUUCUGCAGGACCUGCAGUACAAGGGGAAGAACAAGAUAAUCCCCUGCUUCAACCCCAACACUCUGUUACCUGACCCUUUACUGAGAGACUACUGGGUGUAUGAAGGAUCUCUGACCACACCACCUUGUAGUGAAAAUGUGACCUGGAUCCUCUACCGCUACCCUCUCACCAUCUCACAGCUACAGAUUGAGGAGUUUCGGAGGCUGCGGUCCCAUGUUAAAGGGGCGGAGCUGCUGGAAGGGAAUGAUGGGUUGCUGGGGGACAACUUCCGUCCCACUCAGCCGCUCAGUGACCGGACUGUUCGUGCUGCCUUCCAGUGACUCUCAUUUCCCACUGCCAACUCAGAAAAACUAUGGGGCCUGUAGAUUCAAGUAUAGAAGGAGAGAAGAAAGCAGUGGUGUGAAGAGUGGAAUAGAGGGAGAGAUGGAAAGUUGAUGUGGUUGUAGAUCAGCUGCAGACUGACGGUGGACAAAGAAACUGUUGAUCUCACAGCUUUGUUUGUGUGUGUGUGUGUGUGUUCAGGUUUCUCAUUCUUACUGUAUAUGUGUAAGUGAGUGUAACGUCCUCCCUGUGCCUAUGUGUCUGCUCUAGGUACGUCUUGAGUGUUAUUGUGGUAAUCUACGAGUAUGUGUUUCCUGAUUAGAGGUUAGGGGGAUUCACAACUUGUCAGUCAAGGGUAAACAUAAACCAUGUGAUGUACCUGGACACACACACACACAUCCUUGUACUUCUGUAGCUGUGAGGACCCUCAUUAACAUAAUGUGUUCCCCCGACCCUUACCCUAACCUUAACCAUCACAACUAAAACGCCAAUCCUAACCCCAAACUAAACAUAUUCCUACACUAACCCUUGACUUGUAACACAACAGUGUUGAAACGCCACACCUGUUCCGGCAUGCCGACUGUGGCUUUUCACACAGACGUAUUUCGGCUGUUGUUUCUACCAACGUUCCCGGCUCAGAGGAGGAUCUAAUCUGAGCCUCUUUUUCCAGCUCUGUACCUGUCAUACAGCGUAGCGAGCUGGCCUAUUGCUGUAAUAGUCCUAAAAAAUAAGUCAGUAUGAAAGUGCCUCAAGUCUAAACUUUCAAACAGCCCUUUGAAGUUGUGAGGACCAGCCAAAAUGUCCUUACUUUCCAAGAAUGUCCUCACUGUGUUGGUUAAAAUCUUGUUCCAGUCCUCACACACACACACACACACACACACACACACAUACACACACAAACCCUAACCCUCACCUUUACCUAACUUUAACCUGAACCCUAAAACCACAUCUUAGCCCUCAAAAAGCCGUCUCUACCUGUUGGGACCUCAAUCUUCCUCACGGUGACACGAGUCCCCAUCAGUUAGUGUGAAGUCAGGUUUAAGUCCUCACUGAGAUAUAAGAACAUGAAACACACACACAUUCAAGAACAUACUGUACCGCCGCAAGACACAGUUUGAUUAAAAAUACACCCAUGUGCUCUGUGUGUAUACUGUGCUGUAUUUUGUGCAUACACCUGAGGUUGAGUGUUCUGCGGUAGGCCAUGUCUGACAAGACAACUACUUUUUUUAGCACAGUUGCCGUGCCUCUGCUUUAUUUUCCUAAAUCUCUGUCAUUACUACAUCCUCAUGUUUUGAUCACAUUAUAAAGGGACCAAAGAGAGUAAUAAAUUUAUAAGUUAGCAAGUAAAUCCUGCUGGGUUUAAUGAGCUCGUCCUCUCAGAACUCCCCCCCCAAAGCCUGUGUCAUAAUUCAUUUUAGACCAGCGUUUGGAGACUCGGCAACUUAUACAUUUACACAGACUACUGUUGAUCACGGUCUGAUUAACCCAAACAUUUCUGCUUUAACUGUCAGGGUGAAUGUGUUUAAUUCCACUCUGGCACAGCAGUAAUGGCAGAGGCACUUGAGAGCUCAACAUGUAAUCAAUAGAGUAACUUAACAGCAGUUUGACACUAUUUGCUGUAAUGACUAGCUUUAUGUUAAUAUACAUAAGUGAAUAUAAGCAGGAGUUUAGGAGUAAUCAGUUGAUUUUUACCAAUUAAAGUGCAUGAAAUGGUUUAAUAUUAACAUUUUAAUGGGUAUGUCGAGGCUGUGUAGGUUAUAUUCUGUGUGGUUCAGCAGUGUGUGAGCGCUCCACGCAGGGACAUCUGACAUCAGCUGCUACUUUAACCUCGUCCACAUCUUCAUCUCACCGUACACUCAACAGAUAUUUAGUUAGCCAAACUCACAUUAUAUUAACUUUGUGUAAUGCCAAACGCUCAAAUAAUCAUUCUUAACCCCUGCCUGCUUUAGACAGUCAAAUAUCAAACUUACAGAAUUGUUUUGCUGCUUUAGUGUCCACAAACCUUAAAUUUCAGUCUAUGUGUUGGUUGCUAUUUUCCUGACAUUUUUCUGUUAAUAGUGUUAGUAUUCUCUGUGUCAAUACAGGUUUGGUAUCCUGUCAUUGUCUAAAGCAGCUUUAACCCCCAUAAACAUUAAAUUUACCUGACACUUUCAUCCAAAGCGACUUACAAUUGCUAUAUAUGUCAGAGGUUGAACGCUCUGGAGCAACUAGGGGUCUUGCUCAGGGACACAGAUGGAUGUCUCAAAGUGGGAAUCGAACCCAGGUCUCCCACACCAAAGACAAGCAUUUUAUCUAUGCGCCAUCACCACCCCACAUUAGUGGAAUACUACUUUCAUAACUGUUUUAGAAAGCAGGGAGGGUUACAAGCGCAGCUUUUAUGUGUAUGUGUAUAUUACAUUGAUUCAAAAUGUGACCUUUAUCUAGGAAAAAUGCAUUUUAAUGCAAGCUGUAAAUGUGGGCAGAACCCAUUGGGAUCAGAAAGCAGUUGGAUCAGCAUCUGGAGGUGGUCAGGCUUGCAUUGUGAUCUCAGCCCGGUGUAAAUGCAGUCAAAGGUCACCUUUCCUGCCAAGUCAAGCGAGCCUGGCAAAAGUUACAAGCAGUAGCAGUAGCUAGCAAGUCUUCCCUUGAGUUAGGAUGUGCCAUGUCUGUUGACAAGGCUGUCGGCCUUAGCAUACUGAUCCCUGAUCAUAAAACACGAACGAAAUAACAAGAACACAUUUUAAUACCAGGUGUAAAAUGGAGAAGACCAAUUUAGUGGAUGUCAUAAUCCAGAUAACAUAUAGAUCACAUGUUAUUACCAGGUGUAACUGGGGCCUGUGUGUCUGUGUGUGUACUCUUUAAAGGUACUGUGUUUGACAAACCAUGCUGAAAUAAACUGUGAGAAUUGAUGACUGUUACUGUAAAGCAACAAUAAACUACAACACUGACUCACUAAAACACUAAA